rnacentral:rRNA from 1 species
CACGUAGGGGCGAGCGUUGUCCGGAAUUACUGGGCGUAAAGGGACGCGCAGGCUGUUAUGCGAGUCUGCUGUAGAAAGUGUACCGGCCUCAACCGGUGCCUUGCGGCGGAUACUGCAUAGCGUGGAGUACUGGAGAGGGAAGUGGAAUUCCCGGUGUAGCGGUGAAAUGCGUAGAUAUUACACAGAACACCGAUUGCGAAGGCAGCUUACUGGGAUGCCACUGACACUGAGGCACGAAAGCGUGGGUAUCAAACAGGA